GACGAACGCUGGCGGCGUGCCCAAUACAUGCAAGUUGAGCGCUGAAGGUUGGUACUUGUACCAACUGGAUGAGCAGCGAACGGGUGAGUAACGCGUGGGGAAUCUGCCUUUGAGCGGGGGACAACAUUUGGAAACGAAUGCUAAUACCGCAUAAAAACUUUAAACACAAGUUUUAAGUUUGAAAGAUGCAAUUGCAUCACUCAAAGAUGAUCCCGCGUUGUAUUAGCUAGUUGGUGAGGUAAAGGCUCACCAAGGUGAUGAUACAUAGCCGACCUGAGAGGGUGAUCGGCCACAUUGGGACUGAGACACGGCCCAAACUCCUACGGGAGGCAGCAGUAGGGAAUCUUCGGCAAUGGACGAAAGUCUGACCGAGCAACGCCGCGUGAGUGAAGAAGGUUUUCGGAUCGUAAAACUCUGUUGGUAGAGAAGAACGUUGGUGAGAGUGGAAAGCUCAUCAAGUGACGGUAACUACCCAGAAAGGGACGGCUAACUACGUG
rnacentral:rRNA from 1 species